CACGAACGCUGGCGGCAGGCUUAACACAUGCAAGUCGAGCGCCCCGCAAGGGGAGCGGCAGACGGGUGAGUAACGCGUGGGAAUCUACCCAUCUCUACGGAAUAACGCAUGGAAACGUGUGCUAAUACCGUAUACGUCCUUCGGGAGAAAGACUUAUCGGAGAUGGAUGAGCCCGCGGUGGAUUAGCUAGUUGGUGGGGUAAAGGCCUACCAAGGCGACGAUCUAUAGCUGGUCUGAGAGGAUGAUCAGCCACACUGGGACUGAGACACGGCCCAGACUCCUACGGGAGGCAGCAGUGGGGAAUAUUGGACAAUGGGCGCAAGCCUGAUCCAGCCAUGCCGCGUGAGUGAUGAAGGCCCUAGGGUUGUAAAGCUCUUUCACCGGUGAAGAUAAUGACGGUAACCGGAGAAGAAGCCCCGGCUAACUUCGUGCCAGCAGCCGCAGUAAAAC
rnacentral:rRNA from 1 species